AAGAUAUUUUAAAAUUAGUAAAAGUUGCGAUCAAUUAAAGAUUUGCCAAGUAAGGCCGCUUGUAAACAUCCGUCUUUUUGACCGGACAACGGCCCGAUUUUUUCACCGGAUUUAGCGGUGGCGUAUGGUUUAUAAUGAACGUGUGCACAUGCAUCGGACAUAGGUCCGGCGAGAAAAUUGACAGCAAACAAAGGAUAUCCGUUUUUUGACGGUCCGUCGUCCGGUGAAAAAACGGAUGUCUACAAACGGCCUAAGUAGUAUCAAAAAAUUUAAAAAAUACUUAUCAAAUUUUGUUAGCAUUUAAUCCAAACAAAGGUGAAACUUCAAAAUAUCUUAUCAACACAACCUGAAACCGGAUACACACUAUUUUAAAUUCAGAUAACAGUAGAUAAUUUAAAUAUUACCACAGAAAACACUGGUUUGAGUGCAAAAAGUAAAAACAUAUUCACAUCCAUAAUGAAAUAUUUUCUCUCUGCCUACUUAUCUCAUUAUUCAUUUGUUAGCUGGCCCUUAGCUAAAUUAUUUCCUAUGAUUAGGGCCCGCGGCGCUCGAGCCUAACAUUACUUGACGCAGUUGAAGGAAAUGCCUAUAACUAGCAGCUGCAGUGCCAUCAGACCAGUUUAGAAAAUAAACAGGAUGGAGAUAUCCAUUAACAAUUACAAACUUCCAAUAGGUUUAAUUAUUAAGUAAAUACUUUUUAGGGUUCCAUACAAGUUACAAAAUAAUAGGGAGUCAGUAUUGGCACUGAUUGACCAUAUAAAAAAAAAAUAUUCUUAUGCAAUUCUGCAAUAUCAUCAGCAAUCUACACACGAUCGCUGAAGAAUAAAGAAACAAUGAAUUGUAUCCUAAAAAAAUAGCUUUUUGUGUUCCGCCAAGGUUGAUAUAUCUCAGUACAUUUCCAAACAAGAGUCAUGCAUGAUAUAUCGCCGGAUUGCAUGGACAUCAAAGGUCAGCCCUUUCAGCGGCAAGUGCGUGAACCGGAUGUUUGUUAUCACUCGCCCACAGUCACGGUGCGUGCGCGCAGGAAACGCCGGGUGUCGCGCAGGCGCGCGGUCCACGGUCCAAUGUUUCAAAACAUACGGUUGAGUUUACCGUUUUCUUAUAACACAAACGCCCUGUGAGCUAAAUAGAUACCAUAUGUGCCAGAAAAACAACACACUAAUUAUCAUGGUCUCAAAAUAGUAAUAAUUACGUAACUAGUGUUAUGAGGUGUCGACCAGACAUUUUUCGUUGCAAACUAAAAUAUUGUUCGAAUGUAACUUAAAUAUCAAUCAUAUUGCAAAACAGCAAAACUUUCCUGGCAAAUUACGAAAAUAUCAUUUAUGUGGUAAAAACGAAAAUGUAGUCAUAUGAAUUGAAUUAGCAACAAAUAUAACCAUGACAUCACCCAAACUUGGAACUGUGGUCACGCACGAGAAAUACAACAAAUGCAAUGUGCAUAUUUUUGUUUAAUAUGCAUCUGGCAAUCUGCCACAGCGGCGCUUAUUUUAGGUCAAAGAUUUUGUCGUUUGUAAACAUUACUUUCUGACUUUUUUACGAUGGAAAUAAGGAAUCAUCAGGAGAAAAUAUCCCUGAAAUAAUAGCUUGGGUAACUAAAAGAAAGCUACUGUACCUAUCAGACUUGCUUUUGAUAAGCAUAUUCUUAAAUUACGUGCAGUACCUAAGCACAAAAUUACCGCCAUGUGUGUAGAAUGUCAUGAAAAUAAAUAGCAUUACAAAUUGAAAUGGGAACAAAAUUAAUUAUCUACAUAUUAUUAUGCAGCUGAAGUAAAACCAAUCUACUUAAACAAAAAUAACUUUUAAAUUACCGGAAUCUGUAAUUUGGUGAUUUUAUUGUAAUUCGCCUUAUUCUACUUGUGUUUUAUUAAAACUAUUAGUAAUCUAAGCACAGUUUUAGUUUACACAAUGAAAAUGUGGAUAAGUUCCCACUCGGCAUUAAAAUUACGGUUAAAUAGGAAAGUUGUCCAUGUAAUCAAUAUCUACGAGAUGGAUUAACCAGCAUUAUGCAAAACACACCUCUGCUGACAUACUUAUCAAAUUACAUAUGCGUUUUAAUUGUAGACCUUGAUGUGGUUAUAUUCGUACAGACGACAGCACAUAAACGUAUACACUGUGUAAUACUGUGGCAUCUAUGUAGCUGUAAUAAGAGUAAUUUUGCAGCAAAAAUGUAUAGUCUGGUGUGCUGUUGACUGUACCAUAGGCUGGUCAGAGAAUAAUCAUACCUACAUAAUGUUCAAGUAAAUGCGUAACAUGUUGGAACCUGGUGCCUAAUUAUAGCCUAGCGAUCAUUUAUAAAUAAUGCAGCUGCGUUUAACACACGAGUGCAUGAGUGGAAUGCCCGUACGAGUGGCGAUUUCGACAUCAUGUAUAAUUGAUGCAGUACUAUGCAGGCCAUGCACAAUUAAUUUGGCUUAAUUUCAAACACUACUGCAUUUCCUUAAUACGUGUUUCUUUCUUUUUUACGGUUUGCAAAGCGGGAAGUCACAUAAACGUAACAAGCAAGAUAUUUUGCCACAAAAUAUAAUAUUUUUCUAUUUUAAAAACUAAAACUGUUUGCUGGACGUAAAUUAUUUAUAAGAGCCUUGAAUGUUAUGUUUUCGGAAAGAGCUAGAAAAUCUCGUGUAAAAUAGGUACAUAAUUUAAUCAAUGUUAUUAAAAAUACCAAAAUAAUACCGAGGAAUGAUAUCACCACAUCGAUAUCAUUAUCUUUCGGUCCGGUUCAUAUGCAGCGUGCUGAUACGAGCAUACAGGAUCCGUCAUCAAUGACGAUAAGAUUGUGGGUGCUACGUACCGAUGUUGGAUAUUGAACCGGAAUGGGAAAAAGCCUUGGCUACCGAAGUUAUUUAUUAUCCUAUAGUUGUAGACACGACGCGAUAAUGACGAUACAAAAGAUGAGUCAAAUGACUUGACUGAAUCUACCAAUAUGUAUUUAUAUGCAUGUAAUAAUAAUAAUGACCUCCGCAAAACCAGCUCGACUUCUGAAAUAAUAAUUAAUAUUUGUUUCCUUUUAGCCUGAGUGACAGUGAAUGGAAAUAAUAUAAUUAAACACGUUUAUCUAAUUAUAAAUUCGACUCGUAUGACAUUGACUCCAACAAUGUAGGUAUAUUAACUUCUUGUAGAAUUUAAAAUCGGACAAAAAUUUGAAUAAUUUAAAGGAGUAAUCGUCGUCAGCGUCUAGAUCAAUGAUAUACAGAGCUUUGCCCCAUAGCAGUUCUCCAAAACGUAUCUACUGGAAGAAAAAUACUGGUUUUGGAAAGUCUGGGAAGAUGUUCUCUUGGGGCUCUCUAUGUUUGUUUGUGUACAAGAUUAAAAAGGUACAAAGGGAUCAUUCUCACCUCUUGCUCCCACGGUCACAUCCCUGCAAUUCUUCUGUGUCCAGGAUCUACAUAGCUUCUUUCUAC